rnacentral:lncRNA from 1 species
UCUUGCAUGCUGAAAAUGAUUUUUAGGGAGUUUCAAAACUUAUAAAACAACCAUUUUCAAGUUAAAAUUAUCAAACACAAAAGUGUAUGCACUUUUAAUGUGCCUUAUAAUCCUAAAUCCUAAAGUAAGCCCUAAAAAUCCCUACCCCUUUACUUUCUUAUUUGAUAUCUUGAAUUAUGUCUUUAAUUUUAACAAAAAUUUGAAGUUAGUAAAUAGCUGUAAAA